rnacentral:lncRNA from 1 species
GACAAACGCGUAUCAUCACGGAAGUAUUUUUUUGUACUGUAGUGGGCUAGUGAUCAGCGUCCGUCCAAACCUCCCUCGUGCUGCAGUAUAGAGAGAAACAAAAUUGUUAGAGGAAAGAGUGGUAGAAAGAAACAAAUUAGAGGUGAGCUACAAAAAUUGAAGUACGGACACUACUAAACUAACUAAUCCAACAUCAAGAAAAAAAUUGGAGUAGUUAGUACCAACUACUAAACUAAUGUACUGGAUGUUGAACUUAUAAAUUGUAUAUUGGCGAACUUUUACACUUGACGAAAGUAAUCAACAUGAACUUUUCUCUCUCGAAGUUACAACAUGUAUUCCUAGACGAUAAUAUCUGAACAUCAGGGAAACAAAUGUUUGAACGUCUGAGACAGUAGUGUGUGUACUUGUCGAUGAAAACAUAAAGCAUGCUAAAAUAUUUCAGGAAACAUGCUAAAAUAUUUUAGGAAACAUGCUAAAAUUGGGCCUGUUUAGUGAUCAAAAAAAUAUUUAGAGAUUACUUUUCGAAAUCUCAAGCGAGCAACGAUUGAACAUACGUAUAGAUACAAGGAUGAGAUGACGAAAGCUGAACUUUAGGAGAUGUCGAAGAAGAACAACCAACGACGGUGGUCAAAUAAUUUUGAAGAUGGACUGUUGCUGUAUGUUUGCAUCUAUAACGAGACUUGGAAUGUUUUUUUCCUGUAAACCUAUAACGAGACACAAGUCACUGGUCAGAUGUAUGUACUGUAUGUAUCGAUUUCACUCGAUGUAACACAACUCCAAAUGUUUGAACUAAUGAUGAUGAGCAGUCGAGCUACGCUUGCUGGCCAUUGUGAUGGGGUAUGUUAGUAUGUGUUUUUUUUCAAGCAGACAAAAAUGAUGAAACUAAACACACUUUGUUUUCUUUUUGCUUUUGAUAAGAUGAACUAAAAAACUUUCAAAGAUGAACUGAAAGGUUUUGAACCUCCAGGAAGCCUCUUGGGAAACUUGACAGCCAUAGACUGCUAGUCGCGAUGAACUCGACCACCCUGAUGCCAUGGGGUUGGACUGAGGAUGGCACACAUGCACCCUUGAUGACGGCAGAGACCGUGGGAGACUACAACUACCAGCACUACAAAAGCACAUAUCGACUCUGUAGGCAGAGACUACAACACACACACCCAUUCCUCAAUUGCAAAUUUGCAAUACAUAUUUACAUACUACAUCAAGGUGAUAUCUCUGUACUUACAAACUUUAUGGAAGGUGAACUCAUGAUUUUUCUUUCUGAACUUUGUUUCUUUUUUCUCUGGACUGAUACAAACUUCCACCAUGUACUGGUGUGAUUUUAUUUUCAAACAACACAAGAGAAGAGCUUUAUUUACAUCAUCGAUACAUGUCCAACCAUUUCAUUUCUAGAAAGCAAGCAAACAUCUUUGUCCUAUUUAUAUAACCCAACCCUUUUUCUAUAAGUGAAGCACAUAAUAGAGCAAAAACUAGAAGUUGGAUCGUGAAUAGUAUUAGAAGUUUAGUGCCCACAUAAGAAGAAAUAGCAAAUACGAGUAUGGAGCAGCAGCAAUACAGAUAUGUAAAAGUUCUAGAAUUUGAUAAAAAAAUGAAGUAGCUUGAUCUGGUUAGUACUACCAUAACUAGAUACAUGUAAAAGUUAACUGACACAAAGUUCAAAAGAAAUUCAGAAAAUGAAACCGAAUUGAUGGGCUUACUUCAUGCAUUAAAUUCUACACCAUAGCGUCUUGUCUGGAUGUACACGACGGAGCUGGCGGGCUGCACAUCGAGCCACACUGCACAAAGAAGUAGUGUCGAAUGAUUCAGUCUCGGCGGGCUGGGAGCAUGCCAUUGCUGCAUUCAAAAAAAUUCACCAUUGGUUUCUGAACAAUAAGUACAAGAAUCACCAAAAGUUGGACUGAAGCUCUAGGAAUUUUAGCUCCAAGAACAAAUGCGUUUAAGUUCAGAGAUGAAACAUAGUUAAACGUUCUUCAGUGUCAUGAGUUAGUACAUGUGGAAGAUCAUUUCAUUUUCUAUCUCUCUCUAUCUCACUCACAUCACCCUGCAACAGCAGCAGCGCACCAAUGAGUACGCACAACCAGUAGCUAAGCAAGAAGCAGGCCUUCAGGCUACAACAAACAUUAGAGAAAAAAUGUGAAUCAGCCGUAGCUACCAACUAUCGUUCGGUGCGUGCACCACCAACAGUACUAUGAACAAAGCACUAGUGAUGAUAAUAAGGCAGUCAAGCAUCUAAUUUUGGCACACCCAAUAAUAGUUGAACCGAGAUGGUCAACUAGUUGUACUGAGAUAGUGAACUAUUUAUUGCAAAAAGAAAGUCUAAAUCAUGGCUGAAAUUUAGUCUAAAUCAUAAGGCUGAUGGGAUGAUAAGGUAACAUAAAUAGUACAGUAAGCUCAGAAAAAAGGGUUCAGAACUAAAGUCACUCGAUACUUGCAUAAUAGGGAAUGAAAGGUACAUAAAUGAUGCGAGUUCGAUCAGAGAGGGAGAGUCAGUGAGGCACAAGACAGCAGGAUCCAGGGUAGAGCAUGGGGUGGCCUAUACCUAGCUCCUUAAGCGACCAACGGCGGAGCUAGCAGUUGGACUGCCGACAGGGAGGUCCUCGACCUCGCGGCUCCUCUUACUAUACUUACAUGUUGAAAAGAAAUAUCUGAACAGCUGUGCGGACCAUAAUUCAGAAGAGCAGCAACUUAACAGGGAUUACACUAGCUUUGACAUUCUGACAAUAGUGAGUGCUCAAAUGCAAGUAAUGUACAGUAACUGAAAAGGCAUCAUUUUUCUGACAUUCGGUGCUCAAACUAUGUGGACCUAAGUACUUAUUGGCAGGAAAGAAAUGUACAAGUUGCAUAUAUUUCUGCCUAGUAAAUUAUGAUGACAAGCUUACCAAGUCAAAACAAUUUUCUUGAGAAUAAUCUGCUCAGGAUCCAAACUUUUUCAGUGAACAUACGAGCUCCCGUCUCUAUUCUCCAAAACAAUCAGAGGGACGGAUGAAAAGGAAACCUGUAACAAAUAAUUUUCAUUUCCAUAAGCAAAAACAAUCAGG